rnacentral:rRNA from 1 species
UCCUACGGGAGGCAGCAGUGGGGAAUAUUGGGCAAUGGGCGCAAGCCUGACCCAGCAACGCCGCGUGAAGGAAGAAGGCUUUCGGGUUGUAAACUUCUUUUCUCAGGGACGAAGAAAGUGGCGGUACCUGAGGAAUAAGCCACGGCUAACUACGUGCCAGCAGCCGCGGGAAUACGUAGGGGGCAAGCGGUGUCCGGGUUUACUGGGUGUAAAGGGGGGGGAGGCGGGGGUGCAAGGCAGAUGUGAAAAC